rnacentral:snoRNA from 11 species
GGGAUAUGAUGAGUGGUCAACGUUCGCAACAAAUAUGCGAGAUGGGUGUCCGCCCUAGCCUGGUUACGACAAUUGGGCACUCUCAUCUUUACCAAUCUGAUCCC